CACGAGCGAAGCUGAACCGCUGGAAGCGGGCCGUAGCGGUGACAGCCCCGUAGGCGUAGGCGAGUGGAAGGGGAGGAACCCUGAGUAGGGCGGGCACGUGAAACCCCGUCCGAAUCCGGCAGGACCAUCUGCCAAGGCUAAAUACUCAUAGGACACCGAUAGCGAACCAGUACCGUGAGGGAAAGGUGAAAAGUACCCCGAAUAGGGGGGUGAAAAAGACCCUGAAACCGUGCGCCUACAAGCGGUCGGAGCCCUUUAGUGGGGUGACGGCGUGCCUUUUGCAUAAUGAGCCUACGAGUUGCUCCUGUCCGGCAAGGUUAAGCGCGGAUACGCGCGGAGCCGAAGCGAAAGCGAGCCUGAAUAGGGCGAUCUAAGUCGGACGGGGCAGACGCGAAACCUUGCGAUCUACCCAUGGCCAGGAUGAAGUUCCGGUAAUACGGAAUGGAGGUCCGAACCAAUAAGCGUUGAAAAGCUUCUGGAUGAGCUGUGGGUAGGGGUGAAAGGCUAAUCAAGCUGGG
rnacentral:rRNA from 1 species